GGGACGGUCCAGCUGCCUGCUUCUCUCUCGCAGAAGUGUUGAGCUCGGAACGUGGAUGAGCUGCAGCAGCACAGAGCGCGAGCUACGGACCGCAGACCCCGGGACUCCCGCGGAGAAGCUCCUGCGUCUGAAACGCUCGCUCACAUUUAUGCGGAGUAAAAGUGUGGAGAACUUCUUCCAGCGUUCUCAGAGCGAUGCUUACCUACCAAAAGAGCUCUUCUCUGGUGGCAUGCCUUCUUCCCCGCGCCUGUUUACUGGGCCUGCACCUGGUAACAGCAGUGCUGUUUUGCCCUCCCCCAGCAUCAGCUCGAGACCUGCUCCAUUUGGUGUGCAGGCGCGACCAGCACAAACACACUCCUUCCUCGAGCAUGUGUUCCGGCGACCCACCAGCUGCAGUCUGUGCAAGCUCAUUAUUGCAGGAAACUCUAAACAGGGACUGCGCUGUAGAACAUGUAAGAUGGGAGCUCAUCUUUGGUGUGUCUCUGAAUUCACAGAGAAACCAUGCCAAGGAAAGUCUGGCAUGUUCAAGAGGAACUUAAGCACACCUGUACUGACCAAUGAUCAGUUAUGUGCUGUAAAGACACAGGAGGAUUGUAAUGCAUCACAGGCAGUCAGGUGCAAGGAUGAAAGACUACGGCUCCUUAAAUUAGAUUCAAAAGCUCAGCUGGACCCUGUGUAUGCUACACUCCGCUUCGGAACUUCUCUGGCCAACACCAGCCGAUCUAGCUUUGGGAGUUUCUGUGAAUCUCCGAGCCAAAGCCUGGAUGAAGAGGAUGGUCAGCAGAAGGACGAGUAUGUGUCCACUGAGGAGGAAAAAAUGACUGAAAACCAAAUAAAGGAUGUCUCAACUGAGAAUAUCAACUCUGAACUGGAUGAGAUCUCCCAGAUUCCUAAAGUUCACCCCAUUCACACUUACGUGGCACUUUACAAGUUCCUCCCUCAAGAGCAGAAUGACUUAGAAUUGCAACCUGGUGACAGAGUUAUGGUGAUUGAUGACUCUAAUGAAGAAUGGUGGAAGGGAAAAUGUGGUGAUAAAGUUGGAUUAUUCCCAGCUAAUUUUGUGCAGCGAGUGCGUCCAGGUGAACGUGUCUGGAAGGUGACGCAAAGUGUCCAUGGCAACAAAGACUUGGGCCACCUGGCUGUUAAAGAGGCUCAGAAAAGGACGAAGUUGUGCAAUUCGACAUAGUUGGAAAAAAAGCAGCUUUGGUGGAGAGUUUGCUAAUGUGGUCACCCAAGAUUUGUGUGGGUAAAAAUGAAGACACUGAUGGCUUUCUAAAACUAAGCAGCGGUAAGAAGAGAGGUCUGGUCCCGACUGAUUCACUGGAGGAGAUAUAACAGCUUAUAGAGUUGAACACAGUCAUGAACAACAUAUAUCUUGAUACAGCAACAUAAUUUACCACAUAAACCUGGUGUAUUAUGUCAAAUGUAUACACAAAUAUUAGCUGCAUUAAAGAGCUGUGGUUUGUUCAACCUGAUUGGAUCAUCAUAAUUCAUGUUUCUCUACCAACAUGUUCAUGUUUCUUAGUUUUUUGCGAUUUUUUUUUCUUUCCUUUACUUGUUAUUUAGGGAAAGUGAUAUGUUGUUGGCAUAUAUAAUUCCUAGUGUAUAGUGGAAUAGACAUUUAACAACUCCUGGGGCAAGUUGUAUAAACUGUUUAGACUAGUCUUAGAAAGUAAUCUAUUUUAUUUCUUCAAGACCGGUCAUAACUUUUUUAAUUCGGUUAUGAAAAGGUAUAUCUUAUUUGUAUGGGAAAAGUAAGAUUGAUUACCCCUUGGCAACUGCUAGUUGGUCAAAAUAGUUCUUAAGACAGUCUUAACAUGGUGACCAAGUUUAUGCAACUGACCCCUGGAGGAAAUUAAGGGUUAGUCUAAUAGAAGUCUAAGGGUUAAAAUAGAACUACUCUGAUUUUUCAAAACAAAAACUAUACUUCCAUUAGAAUACUAACAAUAAAUACAUGAGUAAUGUUUUUAAUUAAUAUAAAUGGUACUAAAAUAAUAUUAUGAACUGGUGAUAUGGUGAAAAUGAUAUUUUUGUCCUAUUUUUAAAAGGGUUAUGUGUUUAUACAGUUAUGAAAGAAAAUUAUGUCUGUUCCAUGUAAUACUGUAUACCUAUUAAAACAUUUUUAUGUUAAAAUAUUCAGUAUUUUAUUGCACAGACUAAAUUAGUUGCUUGCUGUUUUAUAGGAUGUGGUUGUAAAACAUGGCUUGUUUAGCAAAACAAAUAAAUAUUGAUGGAAUUCUA